AACAAUUCCUUGGUAACGAAGCUAACGCGUGAAGUUGACCGCCUGGGGAGUACGGCCGCAAGGUUAAAACUCAAAGGAAUUGACGGGGACCCGCACAAGCGGUGGAUUAUGUGGAUUAAUUCGAUGCAACGCGAAAAACCUUACCUACCCUUGACAUGCCAGGAAGCCUCCAGAGAUGGAGGUGUGCCCGAAAGGGAACCUGGACACAGGUGCUGCAUGGCUGUCGUCAGCUCGUGUCGUGAGAUGUUGGGUUAAGUCCCGCAACGAGCGCAACCCUUGCCAUUAGUUGCUACAUUCAGUUGAGCACUCUAAUGGGACUGCCGGUGACAAACCGGAGGAAGGUGGGGAUGACGUCAAGUCCUCAUGGCCCUUAUGGGUUGGGCUUCACACGUAAUACAAUGGCCGGUACAGAGGGCAGCCAACCCGCGAAGGGGAGCUAAUCCCAGAAACCGGUCGUAUUCCGGAUUGCAUCUGCAACUCGACUGCAUGAAC
rnacentral:rRNA from 1 species